CUUUCCCCUGCGGCCUCUGCUCUGGCGGGAGUACCCCGGCCGAGCUCCCAGACACGUGCCGAGGGGGACAGGCGUGGGCUUUGGACAGAGGCAGCCCCAGGAUGACUUGAAAGUAGGGCAUCAUUGGCCCUCCUGAAGAGAGGAAAUUAGUGGCUGGUGAACAGUCGGUAUGGCAUUCUCAGAUGCCUUUACCUGAGAGAGAAAUCUGCCUCCAUCAGGACCUCAGAUGUCUGACAGCCUUAUGUGACACCAGGAUAGGAUAUUCCUGUAAAUGAACUGCAGGACAUGUGGUGUUUUGCAACACUGACAACAUUUACUGCGUGUUGAUGAUGUGCCAGAAUUGUAAACUCAUUCUACAUAUCUUAAUCCUCUCAACAGGCCUACAAGAGAAAGAAUGUUGGGAAGCGGGAGAGAGUGACUCUUAAGCAGGCUCCAGGCCCCUGCAGAUCCCAAUGCUGGACUCCAUCUCACCAGCCUGAGAUCAUGACCUGAAUGAAGAGUCGGACCCUCAACCUAAUGAUCCAACCAGGUGCUCCAAAGAUUUACUUUUUUAAAGGUUGGGGUAGAGUAGGGUUCCCAUUUUAAUUUUACAUGCAUAGUAGUACAACUGCUAAAUUAAGGGCAUAAAGACUUUAUAGAUACAUAUUAUAAACAAACUGUUACAUAAUAAUACAACACGGAAAAGUUAUUCCAAGAUUAUUUCAACAAUAUAUCGAGAAUAAUCUCCCUACAUGCUAAAAUAGCAUUUGUUAAAAUUGUUGAGGAACAACAUUCCUAACCUAUUAAAAGUGUCUUACCCAAAAGGCUGUGUGAUGCUUAAUGAGGAAACCCUAAAAAUGAUCUUAUUAAAAAAAGAGAAAAGAGGGGUACCUGGGUGGCUCAGU